GAGGCCCUGCCCAAUGGCCAGAAACCCCCAAUCAUCAUCACGCUAUCGGUAACAAUGGGCAUUUACAGAGGCUUCAGGUUCCCAAAGCACUUUGGGUGGUAACGCAUUUGACUUCUGACUCACAAGUGCGGCUUCACUUCCAUGUCCCUAACGGGCAAGAGUGUCAGAGCAGCAAAGACUCUGCCGGAGGCAGGCUUUGAAGGAGGCUGUGCGAGCGGGGGCCACGGUGGAGCACGGAAAGGCCAAGCUGAAGAGAUUGGCCUGCAGAGAGCUCUUCCAAAGCUCAAAUUCUGGGAUUCUUUGAAGUGGCAGCAGAGAGCUUGCUUGGAUCGGAGUCAGGUGAUGGAGGUCUGAAUUCCAGGGCCCACAGAGAGCCGGCUGGGCGAUCAUAAGGAUCUCUCCCUGAUGAAAGCCUGGAAUCAUGUCUUCUCUUCUCUUACAAGUGGAAACUUAAAGAAGGAUCUCUCCUUUCUCAAGCUCUCACCAACCCUGCCCCUCACACGGGAAUGAAACACCCAGUAAUCAAUCAUUCUCCAUCAAUGAGAAGUCUGGCUUAAACCUGGCUCACAGGAGGAUUUUCAGUCAGAGGGAAGGAGCCAAGUCAUUCCCAGCCAAGAAGAUGCUAGGAAUAAAACAAAGGAAAGAAUGGGCGUGGAACGUUACCUAAAUGGAGCAGAGUCAUAACUGCUGGUUUUCCUGGGCUGCUUUAAACUUUGCAAAGUGCUCCCCAGAACUCCCAUUUGGAACUCACAGCCCCUCUUUAAAGCAGAUGCUGCAGGUCUCACUCUCCUUUUGUAAAUGAGGAAACAGAUCCAAAGAGAGGGUUCUUCCCUGUGGUCACACAGCUGGUAACACGGGCUGGAUUUAAUCCAUGUCUUUUGGAAGGUUUACUCCAGCAGUGGUAAAACUCAGAGCAGUGGAGACCACUAAACCACACGUGGCAGCCUGGGAGUCACAGCGCCGUGUGACCCUGGGCAAGUCCCUCAACCCUAUUGCCUCAGUUUCCUCAUCUAUAGAAUGAGCUGCA